AAUGUACUCCUUCCGUCCGAAAAUACUUGUCCGAGGAAUGGAUGUAUCUAGAUAUGUUUUAGUUUUAGAUGCACCUAUUUGUAUUCAUUUUAGGAACAAGUAUUUCCAGACGGAAGGAGUAAUGA
rfam:Triticum aestivum genome assembly, contig: Triticum_aestivum_CS42_TGACv1_scaffold_592998_7BS